UCGCUGGUGGUUCACUGGCUAGGACUCUGGGAUCCCAAUGCAGCAGGCCCAGGUUCGAUCCCUGGUCAGGGAA
rnacentral:tRNA from 1 species